rnacentral:rRNA from 1 species
CAGUCGAGGGGCAGCAUGGUCUUAGCUUGCUAAGGCCGAUGGCGACCGGCGCACGGGUGAGUAACACGUAUCCAACCUGCCGUCUACUCUUGGACAGCCUUCUGAAAGGAAGAUUAAUACAAGAUGGCAUCAUAAGUCCGCAUGUUCACAUGAUUAAAGGUAUUCCGGUAGACGAUGGGGAUGCGUUCCAUUAGAUAGUAGGCGGGGUAACGGCCCACCUAGUCUUCGAUGGAUAGGGGUUCUGAGAGGAAGGUCCCCCACAUUGGAACUGAGACACGGUCCAAACUCCUACGGGAGGCAGCAGUGAGGAAUAUUGGUCAAUGGGCGAGAGCCUGAACCAGCCAAGUAGCGUGAAGGAUGACUGCCCUAUGGGUUGUAAACUUCUUUUAUAAAGGAAUAAAGUCGGGUAUGGAUACCCGUUUGCAUGUACUUUAUGAAUAAGGAUCGGCUAACUCCGUGCCAGCAGCCGCGGUAAUACGGAGGAUCCGAGCGUUAUCCGGAUUUAUUGGGUUUAAAGGGAGCGUAGAUGGAUGUUUAAGUCAGUUGUGAAAGUUUGCGGCUCAACCGUAAAAUUGCAGUUGAUACUGGAUAUCUUGAGUGCAGUUGAGGCAGGCGGAAUUCGUGGUGUAGCGGUGAAAUGCUUAGAUAUCACGAAGAACUCCGAUUGCGAAGGCAGCCUGCUAAGCUGCAACUGACAUUGAGGCUCGAAAGUGUGGGUAUCAAACAGGAUUAGAUACCCUGGUAGUCCACACGGUAAACGAUGAAUACUCGCUGUUUGCGAUAUACUGCAAGCGGC